rnacentral:rRNA from 1 species
UGGGGAAUUUUGGACAAUGGGCGCAAGCCUGAUCCAGCCAUGCCGCGUGAGUGAAGAAGGCCUUCGGGUUGUAAAGCUCUUUCGGCGGGGACGAAACGGUUCGUGACAACACCACGGACUAAUGACGGUACCCGCAUAAGAAGCACCGGCUAACUACGUGCCAGCAGCCGCGGUAAUACGUAGGGUGCAGGCGUUAAUCGGAAUUACUGGGCGUAAAGCGUGCGCAGGCGGUUUGUUAAGACAGGUGUGAAAUCCCCGGGCUUAACCUGGGAAUUGCGCUUGUAACUGGCAGGCUAGAGUGUGGCAGAGGGGGGUGGAAUUCCACGUGUAGCAGUGAAAUGCGUAGAUAUGUGGAGGAACACCGAUGGCGAAGGCAGCCCCCUGGGUUAACACUGACGCUCAUGCACGAAAGCGUGGGGAGCAAACAGGAUUAGAUACCCGCGUAGUCCCUGAGCGGGCUGGCAAGGCGCAU